UAUCUCUGUAGAGUCUGCAUAUCAAUAAGCGGAGGAAAAGAAACUAACAAGGAUUCCCUUAGUAACGGCGAGUGAAGCGGGAAGAGCUCAAAUUUGAAAUCUUCAAGGUUUUACCUUGACGAAUUGUAGUUUAAAGAAGUGUUUUCUGUUGAAGUUUCGGUAAAAGUUCUUUGGAAUAGGACAUCAUAGAGGGUGAGAAUCCCGUAUUUGACCGUUAUUUUCAGCUGUGUGAUACACUUUCAAAGAGUCGGAUUGUUUGGGAAUGCAGUCCAAAAUGGGUGGUAAAUUUCAUCUAAAGCUAAAUAUUGGCGAGAGACCGAUAGCGAACAAGUACCGUGAGGGAAAGAUGAAAAGAACUUUGAAAAGAGAGUUAAACAGUACGUGAAAUUGUCAAAAGGGAAGCGUUUGACACCAGUGUUGUUUUCUCGAAAAUCGAUUAAAAAUGGCUUGAUUUUGUGUUGUAUUGACCUUAAAAGCUUUCUUCACUUUUUUCAUGUCUUUUUUAAUGCACUUUUCGUUUAACAAGUCAACAUCAGUUUCUUUUGUUGUAAAAAGGGUCAUUGGAAGGUGGCUUUCACUUUCGGAUGAAAGUGUUUAUAGCCUUUGACUUCUGCAAUCGGAGAGACUGAGGUCUGCAGCGUAGAUCCUUCUGGAUUAGAUUCAUUUGUGCUAAGUUACAACCGUUUAUAGACAACUUGUUGACUAUAUUCGAUCCUGUAGCUUACUCGCUUAUGUAAUUUUACCUACGCUUAGGAUGUUGAUCUGUAGUGCGUGCGC
rnacentral:rRNA from 1 species